UCCUGCCUCAGCCUCCUGUACAUUGUAUUGGUUUUUAUAAGUAGUCUAGAGAUGGUUUAAAGUAUGUGGAGGGAUGUGCAUAGGUGAUAUGUAAAUAUCAUACCAUUUUAUAGAAGGGAUGUGUGCAUCUGAGGAUUUGGGUAUCUGUGGGGCAGAAGGAGGUGUGUCCUAGAAUCAGUCCCCUUCAGUUACUGAGGGACAGCUGCAUAUCUUUUUCCAUUCCUUUACUUUUAACCUAUUUGUGUCUUUAUAUUUAAAGUGGAUUUCUCAUAAGCAGCAGAUAGCUGGGUCCUGCUCUUUUAUUCAGCCUGAUUUAAUUGGCAUAUUCAACCAAUUUGCUAUUGAUAACUGGCUAUGCUUAUGUUUAACCUCUUGCUGUUGUUUUCUGUUAGUCCCAUAUAGCCUUUGUUCCCUUUUCUCUCUUUUUCUGCCUCCUUUUGGAUUAACUGAAUAUUUUUAAGGAUUCAGUUUCAUCUCUUCUGUUGACUUAUUAGCUAAAAAUCCAUUGUUUUGUUAUUUUAGCUGUUGCUGUAGGGCUCAUAGCAUACAUUCUUAAUCAUCACAGUUUGUCUUCAGUUUACUAAACCGCUUCACAUAUAGUACAGGAACUUCAAAAUAGCACACUUAGAUCACUCCCUUCCUGGCCUUUAUGCCAUUGCGGCCAUACAUGCUAAUUGUGCAUUUGUUCUAAACCUCACAAUACACUGUUACUAUUUUUGUUUAGGCAGUUAGUGAUCUUGUAAAUGAAAAUCAUAUACACUUCACCAUGUAAGUACCAUUUCUGGUGCCCUUCAUUCCUCUAUGUAGACCCACACUUCCAUCUCAUAUUCUUUUCCUUUUGCCUGAAGGACUUCCUUUAACAUGUCUUGUAGUGCAAGUCUGCUAGGAUUAAAAUCUUUUAGCUUUUCUGUGUCUGAAGAGAAGUCUUUAUUUUUCAGUUUUAUUUUCGAAGGAUAUUUUUACUUAGUAUAGAAUUCUCAGGUGAUAGUUUUUUCUUUCAUGACGGUAAAGCUAUGAUUCCACCGUCUUCUUGCUUGUGUUGUUUCUAAUAAGAAACCUGCUGUCACUCUUGUCUGUUCCACUGUACCUAAAUGUGUCUUUAUGCCCUGGCUACUUCUAGCAUUUUCUUUUGAUCACUGCUUUGAGGAAUUUGAUUAUGAUGUGCCUUGGUAUAAUUCUUUUUUUUUUUUCCAUGUUUCUGGUGCUUGGCAUUCCUUGAGCUUCUGGAACCUGUGGAUUUAUAUUUUUAAAAUUAAAAUUGGUAAAUUUCUGGCGAUUAUUUAUAAAAAACGUUUUUGGUUUUCCCCCCAUUCCUGUGAGAAUUCUAAUUACACAUGUAUUAGGCUGCUUGACAUUGUCAAACAGAUCACCGGCACUUUCAUUUUAUUUAAUUCUUUCUUUUUCUCUGUCUUUCAUUUUGGAUAGUUCCUAUACUAUGUGUUUAUGAAUCUUCUCUUUUUUUGCCAUACAUAAUUUGCCU
rnacentral:lncRNA from 1 species